AAUAGUUGGGCCAUCUAGCAUGGGCCCAUAUCUAAAAGAGAUGUCCAAAUUUUUUUGUGGGCCUUAAGCCCAGAUCCAAAGUCUGUUGUUUGGACUUUACUAGAUCAUGUCUUACAUUUUAGGCCUAAAACAGACAAUAUUCAAAGUUGAAAUAUUUGUCUUUAUUGAUUCCACUAGAUCUGAGCAUACUACAUGUUAUCGUCCUAAGAGGUCUCCAGGAAGAUGAAAUAGUUGUCGAUCCAAUAAAAUUUGAGCAUGCUAUAUUUAUCAUCUUCCCAAAGGGUCUCCAAAAAAAUUAAAUAUUUGUUUUAAUCGAUUUCACUAGAUCUGAGCAUGCUACGUGUCGUCGUCCUAAGAGGUCUCCAGGAAGAUGAAAUAUUUGUCGAUCAAAUAAAAUCUGAGCAUGCUAUGUGUAUCAUCAUCCCAAAGGGUCUCCAAAAAAAAUUAAAUAUUUGUUUUUAUCGAUUUCACUAGAUCUGAAUAUACUGCGUAUUCUUCCCAAGAAAUUCCAGGAAGAUGAGAUAUUUGCUUAUCAAUUCCACUAGAUCUGAGCAUGCUACGUGUCAUCGUCCUAAGAGGUCUCCGGAAAGAUGAAAUAUUUGUCGAUCCAAUAAAAUCUGAGCAUGCUAUGUGUAUCAUCAUCCCAAAGGGUCUUCAAAAAAAUAAAAUAUUUGUUUUUAUCGAUUCCACUAGAUCUGAACAUACUACGUAUUCCUCCCAAGAAAUUCCAGGAAGAUGAGAUAUUUGCUUAUCGAUUUUACUAGCUCUGAGCAUGCUACUCGUCAUCGUCCUAAAAGGUUUCCGGAAAGAUGAAAUAUUUGUCGAUCCCAUAAAAUCUGAGCAUGCUAUGUGCGUCAUCAUCCAAAAGGGUCUCAAGAAAAAUGAAAUAUUUGUCUAUAUCAAUUCCACUAGAUCUGAAUAUACUAUGUAUUCCUCCCAAGAAAUCUCCAAGACGAUGAGAUAUUUGCUUAUCGAUUUCACUAAGUCUGAGCAUGCUACGUGUCAUCAGUGUGAUCACCAUUACAUAUGGAAGAGAGAGUAAUAAAAUCAAACAAAUUUGGUGAUGGAGGUGACUAAUGAAGCUGUUUAACUUACCUAAUUUGUCUUAAUUAAUAUAGUAAUUCAUAUUAUUUUCAGCAAAAGAACAAUAAAAAUACAAGGUCUUUAACUAAUUCUGUUCUAUGUUAACUCAAAGCAGUUAAUUAGUAGAUAAAAAAAGAAAACAUCCAUUAGGUUUGGCAUAUAAAAAUAUGAUUUUUUAAUACUCCCUCCGUCCCAUUUUAUCCGUCUCAAAUUUCCUAAUCUGGUGUCCCAUUUUACUUGUCUUUUUUUACUUAUCAUGACAAGACAAUUUUUUUCCCC
rnacentral:lncRNA from 1 species